UCAGCUUCAAAAGCGGACCAAGGACCCUCCUGUUUUCCCCUUAGCCAUCUCCCCUUCCAUCGCCACAAGGAGAAAUGCGGAAACGCCGUAGCCAAAAUUGGUAGAGGAGAGAGUGAAUGCCGCGAGGAGAUGACCGUCGACGUCAUUCCUUACCGAUGCCAUUAGUCGGGUCCACGUGGGUGCCGGGAGGACCUUCGUCAUGGCGGGUGGGGGGGGGGGGGGUUACCGUUGAGGAUUUUACCCUAGGCAACCCAGAUUUCUCGUCGGAAUCCACAACCAUGGCGGAAUCCUCGGUGCGCCGCGGACGAAGCUCUUGCCUGCACCAAUCAAUGUAAGAAUCUCCGCCGAGUCAUCGUUUUCCCCUAUGCUUUGCGUAGCACCUCGGGCAAAAACGAAUUACGGGCCCUUGGAUCUGUGAUUGCUCACCGGUGCGACCCGUCCGCCAUGAUGCUGUGCGAUACCGUGGUCGUGGCUCUACGUUGUUCGUAUCUGGUAAAUAACCUCUCUGUCGCGUUCACCGUUGCCUUCUCCCUUUACUACACCCAGAUUCGUGGGAGGUCAGGCAGCUGGGGGCCAGAAUGGUGCACUCCGGCGGGGAUCCGCCGUGGCCGUGGGGCGGCGCCGCCGCCUCGGCUCGGGACAAAGGUGAGGGGAUAGGGGUCGUCGGAUCGAUCAUCGACGGCUAGGAUUAGAAAACGGAUACCGUUUCGUCUGAGUCAAGUGAGACCGUAGAUGUCUGAUCGUGGGGCUGUGGGAGUUUCGGACUUUAUUAACUCUGGUCCAUCGGAUCUUGAUCCAAGGGUAGUCAUCGCACGUAGCUUCGUUGGGAGGGCAAACUGUUGUCAGCCCUCAGAUCUAAUCCAGUGGCCGAGAAUCACAAAUACCCUUUUGGCCAGCACCAUUUGCAAACGAGCCCCUCACGUUUUAGUGAAUACACCCGCCGUCCACAUGUGGGCAAAAUUCAUAACAGGGAGGCCAUGGAUUCUUUGAUUCUAAACCCUAGGUUCUUCUGUAUUCAUGGCUGUAGCCCAGAUAAUUAAGAAAUAAAUUAAAUUAAAUCCAGAAAUCAUUUUGGUGUAGAAAAAUAGUGUUCCCAAUCUUAGGAAAUUCAUAUCUUGAUGAAUUUAACUCCUUUUUUGGUCCGUUCCAAUUGCAUUAAACUCAUAGUAAUAUUGUUUAUCAUCAGGUAACCUCAUUUUGUCAUGAAAUAUAGAUUAAAAUAAUGCACUUAUUUUGUUCUAUAUUUAAUCACCUAAAAGUUCAGAAAAACAUAACUCGAUAAUCGUAACUCUGAUUUGAUCCGUUCAAGUUGUGUUAGUCUCGUAUAAAUAUUUAUUAUGCAAUAACAACAUUUAUUAUACCAUGUCCCAUUCUUUUAUAAUUAGAUCUUUAUUUAACUUAGGUUGGUUAGUCUUGUUAAUUUGCUUAUCAUUAUAAUUUACUAAAAUAUGAUCUAUGGUCAAAUUAUAACUUAGAUCAAAGUGAAUUAAUUAUUUAUAAGAUAUUCUCUCAUAUGAUUUAUAGUAACCAAUUUAUAAUAGUCUAAUAUUUUAAUCACAUAGAUCUUCUAUAAAAUCAUAACUCCUUAAUCAUGACUCUGAUCUUAGUAGUUUUCGAUCCCGCGAUCUCGUAGCAACGCGUACAUUAUUAUUAUUCAGUUUGUACUUAUAUUUGGUUUGGUGUGGUGUUAAUUUUAUCCAUAGCAUGUUUGUUUGUAUUGCUACGACUAGCGAGAGGUUUCGAGGAUUUGAAGAUCACCCUGGUAACUGGAAUCUCAAGUGCCAGGCAAGUUGUGCCCUUGAUCCACUUUUGUUACCCAAUAAUAUUCUUUAUUAUCAUUAUUCAAUGCAUAGGUUUAAUUUUGAUGGGACCCAAUAGGUCACCCUAGUCUAUAUAUCCUAUUUACCUUGUUUACCCCUGAAUCACUUGGGCAGUUUUUGCUAUUGCUUUACAUGGUUUUGGGUUAAUAUUACAUUAUAUCCAUGUUCCAAUUAUUGUAUUAUUUUAUUUAUGUUCAUGUCAAGAUCAUUAUCUUUAAUUGGAACAUGGAGCUUAACUUGAGAAACACGUGCCACUACAAGGGUGGAAUGGGACGCCCUUGGCUGACUAAUUAGGAAAGCUAGUAGAAGACCACCUUACCUGAAAGAAGCAAGGGCAGUAGGGGAGUUGCAUGCAAGGAGGUUCUCGGGUUGAUUUUGCUGCGAUGGCGGUCAGACGAGGGAUUCUUGCAAGUGCUCUUCCCAUAAAUUGUAGCGGGUUUUCGGAAGCUAGUGGAACUUUGUAAAGGCCUCGUAGUGGAUCCCUAGCCAUUCACCUCGGUAGUGUCUAAGGGUCUAGCUAACCCUGGUGACAUGGGAAACAUGGCUUGUGGGUAAAGGGUACAACCUCUGCAGUGUGUAAAACUGGUAUACUAGCCGAGCUCACGGUCAUGAGCAGCUCAGGACUCUCACAUGAUUAAUCUAUGGAACUUAAAUUCAAUUUGUCAUAUGCAUUGCAUGGGAUCAUUUGUUAAUUUUGUUCUAUUAUUAUUUAUUAUGGUUUGGUAUUUACUUACAUAUAGUGAUUACUAAUAAAAUUUUGACCGACUUAUUAAAAGCAAUGCUCAGUUUUAACCCCUAUUGUUGAUCAGCUUUACACAUCACAUGAACUCCCAUCUUUGUGAGUUCAUGCCACAUUAUUCCCCACAACUUGUUGAGCGAUGAACAUGUGUGAGCUCACCCUUUCUGUCUCACACCCCCUAGGAGAAGUACAUGUGGUUCAAGUGGAGCCACGCAUCGAGGAGUUCGAUUUGAUCUAGGUGGCGUCUCCCAGUUGACUUGCGCCAAGGAUGAUCCUUAGUUCGUGUUAUAUUUAUAUAUUAUUUUUGUAAGACUUUCGCUAUGUAAUAAGUACUCUGAUUAUAUUGUGACAUUUAUCUCUAUACACUCUGUUAUUAUAUAUAUUGUCUUCUUUGAUGC
rnacentral:lncRNA from 1 species